CAUGUAGGCGGCUGUGCAAGUCGUGUGUUAAAGCCCCUGGCUCAACUGGGGGAGGUCAUGCGAGACUGCGCGGCUGGAGGACAGUAGAGGCACAUGGAACUCCCGGUGUAGCGGUGGAAUGCGUAGAGAUCGGGAAGAACACCCGUGGCGAAGGCGGUGUGCUGGGCUGUUUCUGACGCUGAGAUGCGAAAGUGUGGGGAGCAAAC
rnacentral:rRNA from 1 species